rnacentral:rRNA from 1 species
UACAGAGGAGCCAAGCGUUGUUUGGAUUGAUUGGGCGUAAAGCGCACGCAGGCGGUUGCGCGCGUGGGGUGUGAAAUCUGGCCGCUUAACGGCCAGGCGCCAUCCCAUACGGCGCGAUUGGAGCGAUGCAGAGGUCGGUGGAAUUGCCGGUGUAGUGGUGAAAUGUGUAGAGAUCGGCAGGAAUACUCAGGGGGAAACCAGCCGACUGGGCAUCUGCUGACGCUGAUGUGCGAGAGCGUGGGGAGCGAACCGG